UCAAACCACUUCUCUCUAAUAUAACAAGCUUACUUCUCUAGCAGCAAAUCAUGGAGAACAAGGCUUUCUUCGUGUUGUUUUUGGCACUCGCCAUAUUUGUGAUGAUGCUGGCCAUGGGCGUGGACGUGGGAGGACUCGCAAAGGCUGCUGCCCAGCGCUGCCAGUCAGGAUGGUAUUGGUAUGACAACAGUUGCCACCGUUGCCAGAAGGGUAUGAGCUGGCGCAACAAUCGCUGCUCGCGCAACUGAAACCUCUCGUUUCACGGGGUAAGCCCAAGUUAAGAAUCAGCAUCAUAAUUGCCUUUGAUUUUAUCAUCCUGCAGUGGGUCUGGAAACAAGAAUAAAGACAAUGAUAACGUGUUUUCUGUAUCGUGCAAUGUUGCAUAGUAUUGCAUGAGUUCCAGCAAUAAAAUAUAAAUUGUCCAAGCCUUGAUAU
rnacentral:lncRNA from 1 species